GUCCUCAGUGCACCAGUGGACAUCAUUGAAAAGAGCAGUUGUGCUGAGCCAUUAGCAAGAAACAUUUGUAAAGCAGCUCCCAAGGGAAGUGUUGAUCAGUCUUUCCACAUGUACCCAUAACAUUCAUGGAUAAACCUGCUAGAACAGUGAAAAAGCAAAUGUCUGUGUUAGAGAGAUCCUGAAUGACUCUGACACCAGUAGGGAAGUUUCUGCAUGACCUAUGGUUGUGUCCCAAGUGGUCCAGAACAUCACUGGUGCUUCAAGCUGCUCCUGUGGUUUCUCUGCAAGUGUUUACCAAGAAACUGCAUUUUGAGAUGGAAAACCAAGUCCCCUUGGUCCCACACUCACCAGUUGUUAACUGUGGUCUGUGUGGCUGGUCCAAAAUAAAACAAUGUCUCCCCCAGUUCAGAUGGAAAUUAAUCUGAGAAAAACUGAAAGACUCUACUAUCCUUUGCAGAAAUUUUAAAUAAGUGAUUUAUCAGCAUUUUAUUUUCAGAUUUGAAAGACCUAAUAAGAACAAAAUUGAUCAUCAUGGGCAAAAAGUCCUUCAUAACAAUGUUUAAUCCAUUAACCAUAAAAUUUCUCUCACACCCCCUCUGUAAGAAAAAUCAAUAUAUCAUAUAAAGAAAUAAAGAAAUGCCAAAUGUCUGCACACAUAUAUCUCUUUCUGCCUUUGAACAAUGGUAUUCAUAAAAAAACCCUGACUACUGACUUUUUCUGAGGAACAAUCUAAAUAUUACACAAACACAUUGGUAUCAGGAUUAAACACGAAAAACUUAAGAAAAUUAAACUGACAGGCUCUGCAGAUUCGGAACUGAUAUCUGAUACCAGAAAAAAAUUCAAAAGAAAAAAAGCAGCAGCUGACUGACUGUCUGUUGGUGUGUGUGUGUGUGUGUCCAUCAUUAUUAGUAUAAUUGGGUUGAAGGUAAUUUUACAUAUAGAGAUAUGUUCUGGUGAGCUGCAGCUUUCUAUUGGCAGCAGUCAGUGCUGUGAAAUAUUUCUUUUUAUGUUUCUCUGCAUCCAGUCUACUGCCACGGUGUUUGUAUCCAGGUGUUAGGACACUUUGCUACGCCUGUUCAUUACAGCUAGCAAUCCUAAUCCCUGCUUUAAACAGAAGCUGUGCAUAAAUUUGCUUUACUUGCUUAAGAGUAAAACCUACCCUCAAAGGAUACUGCCUUUUAAACCCUGUUUUCUAAAUGCAAGUGGGAUGAUAAAUGAGGGAUAUGAAAUGUACCACUCAUAUGUCCUAUCUGAAGGUACAAACUUAAAGCUGCUUCUUACUUGUAAAGUGUCCAAUAAAAUAGCAAGAGAACCCAACCUGGGGAAUUGGUCAAUGGUGGGGGUUUGGGUAUAAACAAAAUAUGUCAUUAGUAACAGAGCAGCUAGAACACAGAAAAUCCUACUUGUGUCAUUGCUUUCCCCAGACUCCCUGCCCAUUCUCUCCCCGCAGUCGUUUCCCACACACUGUGCUGAUAAAAGAUUUACUUGUGAGGUUACCUACUCCCCUGUGCUCUUGAUUUUGUGCCUGUGUUCAUUUCUUCCGCUUAUUUAUCUUAUUCACUAAUGUGAACUGCAAAUUUUAUGUUAGGUGGCCUUUUAGCUACAUAAGACUUUGAUAUGAAGCAUUAGAAAAUAUUUCA